UCGGCCACCGAGAUUCGGGGCUUCGGCUCGACUCUCCCACCCUUUGUGAACGUACCUCUGUUGCUUUGGCGGCUCCGGCCGCCAAAGGACCUCCAAACUCCAGUCAGUAAACGCAGACGUCUGAUAAACAAGUUAAUAAACUAAAACUUUCAACAACGGAUCUCUUGGUUCUGGCAUCGAUGAAGAACGCAGCGAAAUGCGAUAAGUAAUGUGAAUUGCAGAAUUCAGUGAAUCAUCGAAUCUUUGAACGCACAUUGCGCCCCUUGGUAUUCCGGGGGGCAUGCCUGUUCGAGCGUCAUUACAACCCUCAAGCUCUGCUUGGAAUUGGGCACCGUCCUCACUGCGGACGCGCCUCAAAGACCUCGGCGGUGGCUGUUCAGCCCUCAAGCGUAGUAGAAUACACCUCGCUUUGGAGUGGUUGGCGUCGCCCGCCGGACGAACCUUCUGAACUUUUCUCAAGGUUGACCUCGGAUCAGGUAGGGAUACCCGCUGAACUUAAGCAUAUCAAUAGGCGGAGGAACCG
rnacentral:rRNA from 1 species